rnacentral:lncRNA from 1 species
UUGUCCUAUUUUGGGUCUCAUUCAUCUCAUUUUGGGUCUCAUUCAUCUCAUUUUGGGUCAUUUUGGGUCUCAUUCAUCUCAUUUUGGGUCAUUUUGGGUCUCAUUCAUCUCAUUUUGGGUCUCAUUCAUCUCAUUUUGGGUCUCACUCAUCUCAUUUUGGGUCAUUUUGGGUCUCAUUAAUCUCAUUUUUGGGACUCAUUUAUCUCAUUUUAUCCCACUUUGGGUCUAAUUUGUCCCAUUUUGGGCCCCAUUUGUCCCAUUUCUGGUCUCAUUUCUGGCCCUUUUUCUUUGGGGGGGGCCGUUUGGGGGCUCCAACCACCGUCAGCUUUUUGGGGAGGGCGGCCGCCGCCUUCAUGGCCACCUCGUGCUCAAUGCGCAGCCGGAUCCCGACCUCCAGGCUCUGAAAUGGGGGGGGGGGCACAAAAAGACCCCCAUUAACACAUGGGAGAUAUUAAAUGGGGGGGGGGGCACAACAAGACCCCCAUUAACACAUGGGAGAUAUUAAAUGGGGGGGGGCACAACAAGACCCCCAUUAACCCAUGGGUGAAAUCAAGGGGGGGGGGCACAACAAGACCCCCAUUAACACAUGGGUGACAUCAAUGGGGGGGGCACAACAAGACCCCCAUUAACACAUGGGUGAAAUCAAUGGGGGGGGGCACAACAAGACCCCCAUUAACACAUGGGUGACAUCAAUGGGGGGGGGCACAACAAGACCCCCAUUAACCCAUGGAUGACAUUAAAUGGGGGGGGGGGCACAACAAGACCCCCAUUAACACAUGGGAGAUAUUAAAUGGGGGGGGGGCACAACAAGACCCCCAUUAACCCAUGGGAGAUAUUAAAUGGGGGGGGGCACAACAAGACCC